AACUGAGUUAAUAGUAUAGAGCUGUUCUGUGUAGUUAGUUCUUUUAAUUAUUUCCAUUCUCCUAUAAAUGUAUUUUGUACUGCCAUCUUGUUUAUAACAUAAGAGAAAAAAAGAUGGCAGUCUACUGCAAAAAAGAUGAUUUCCAGGCCACAAUUCAGAUUAGCUAUGACAAAAUGAGUGACCUAAAAGCCUUUGAUGAUACUAAGGCUGGUGUCAAAGGGCUUGUUGAUUCCAGAAUCAAUGAAGUACCUCAAAUAUUCAUUCAACCGCCAAAAUACAGGGUGAAAACAUGUGAAACACACAUCAGUUUUCCAGUGAUAGACCUCAAAGGCAUUGAUGAGGAUCCGAUCAAGUAUAAGGAGAUUGUGGACAAAGUUCGAGAUGCAUCGGAGACAUGGGGUUUCUUUCAAGUGAUUAAUCAUGGAAUUCCAACAUCCAUCUCUAAUCAUGGAAUUCCAACAUCCAUCUUGGAAAAAACAUUACAAGGAACACCACAGUUUUUCGAGCAAGAUACUGAGAUCAAGAAACAAUAUUACACUCGAGAUAUUGGGAAAAAGGUGAUUUAUACUAGCAAUCUUGAUUUGUAUAUCCCUUCUGUUCCAGCUGCAAGUUGGAGAGACUCAAUUUUCUUUUUCAUGGCUCCGAAUCCUCCUAGUCCACAAGAAUUCCCAACAGCUUGCGGGGAAAUUCUAAUGAACUACUCAAGUAUGUGACGAAAUUGGGGUUCUCCUUGCUUGAAUUAUUGUCUGAAGGUCUCGGUCUCGAUCGUAGUUAUCUGAAAGAUUAUAUGGAUUGUUGCCAUCUAAGUUGCUUGUGCCAUUACUAUCCAUCAUGCCCUCAGCCAGAACUCACCAUGGGCAUCAGUCAACAUUCCGACACUGAAUUUAUCACGGUGCUUCUACAAGAUGAUAUCGGUGGACUCCAAGUUCUUCACCAAAAUCAAUGGUUUGAUGUUCCUCCUAUACGUGGUGCUCUUGUCGUCAAUAUUGGAGAUUUUCUGCAGCUCAUGUCAAAUGACAAGUACAUGAGUGUUGAGCACAGAGCAAUUGCAAACAAAGAUGGAUCAAGAAUGUCAGUUGCCUGCUUCUUUGGUGAAAAUCCGUUGCAAUCUUCAAAGCUGUAUGAACCAAUCACUGAAUUGUUAUCAGAAGAUAAUCCUCCAAAAUAUCACGCAACCACAGUAAUUGACUACAAAAAUUAUGUCCUAAAUAAAGGCCUAGAUGGAACUUCUGCGCUGUUGAGUUACAAGAUCUAAUAUAAUAAUGUACCAAUAAGUGGUGUUACACCUCUUCAUCAAAAUAAGGGGUGUUCUUAUCUUUUUUCAACGUAUUUAUCAACGAUAAGUUAGUAAAAAUACAUCUUAAUAUCUAAGAAGUAGUAGUUUUCUUAAAGGGUAUGCCCUAAAUAAAAGCAUCACUUAUUUAGAAAUGAAAGAACUAUUUAUAAUUUAGUUCGUUGGGUGUGAGUGUAACUACUACUGCUAUUGAAAAAUGAAAACUAGUUUGUGCAUUUCAUACUUACAAAA